rnacentral:lncRNA from 1 species
AACAUCACAUCGACAUAGAAGUUAUUCUGUAGGCUCCAGGAUGCAGCGAUGGGCUGCGCUCCCAGCAUUGUUCUGCUCCAAGCUUUUCGCUCUGUGGUCCAGAGGAGCUGUCCACACAUUUGCAGAAGACGCCAGGAGGAACCAUCCCAUGAAAUCGUGCCUCUGGAAAGUGACGAGGAAAUGAUGAGCAGACCCAGAACCCUCAUAAUG